rnacentral:rRNA from 1 species
AGAGUUUGAUCAUGGCUCAGGAUGAACGCUGGCGGCGUGCCUAACACAUGCAAGUCGAGCGAUCUUCUUCGGAAGAGAGCGGCGGACGGGUGAGUAACGCGUGGGUAACCUGCCUCAUACACAUGGAUAACAUACCGAAAGGUAUGCUAAUACAAGAUGAUAUAAGAGAUUCGCAUGGAUUUCUUAUCAAAGCUCCGGCGGUAUGAGAUGGACCCGCGUCUGAUUAGCUAGUUGGUAAGGUGACGGCUUACCAAGGCGACGAUCAGUAGCCGACCUGAGAGGGUGAUCGGCCACAUUGGAACUGAGACACGGUCCAAACUCCUACGGGAGGCAGCAGUGGGGAAUAUUGCACAAUGGGCGAAAGCCUGAUGCAGCAACGCCGCGUGAGCGAUGAAGGCCUUCGGGUCGUAAAGCUCUGUCCUCAAGGAAGAUAAUGACGGUACUUGAGGAGGAAGCCCCGGCUAACUACGUGCCAGCAGCCGCGGUAAUACGUAGGGGGCUAGCGUUAUCCGGAUUUACUGGGCGUAAAGGGUGCGUAGGUGGUUUCUUAAGUCAGGAGUGAAAGGCUACGGCUCAACCGUGGUAAGCUCUUGAAACUGGGAAACUUGAGUGCAGGAGAGGAAAGUGGAAUUCCUAGUGUAGCGGUGAAAUGCGUAGAUAUUAGGAGGAACACCAGUAGCGAAGGCGGCUUUCUGGACUGUAACUGACACUGAGGCACGAAAGCGUGGGGAGCAAACAGGAUUAGAUACCCUGGUAGUCCACGCCGUAAACGAUGGGUACUAGGUGUCGGGGGUUACCCCCCUCGGUGCCGCAGCU